rnacentral:rRNA from 1 species
GACACACGGCGGGUGCUAACGUCCGUCGUGAAGAGGGAAACAACCCAGACCGCCAGCUAAGGUCCCAAAGUCAUGGUUAAGUGGGAAACGAUGUGGGAAGGCCCAGACAGCCAGGAUGUUGGCUUAGAAGCAGCCAUCAUUUAAAGAAAGCGUAAUAGCUCACUGGUCGAGUCGGCCUGCGCGGAAGAUGUAACGGGGCUAAACCAUGCACCGAAGCUGCGGCAGCGACACUGUGUGUUGUUGGGUAGGGGAGCGUUCUGUAAGCCUGUGAAGGUGUGUCGUGAGGCAUGCUGGAGGUAUCAGAAGUGCGAAUGCUGACAUAAGUAACGAUAAAGCGGGUGAAAAGCCCGCUCGCCGGAAGACCAAGGGUUCCUGUCCAACGUUAAUCGGGGCAGGGUGAGUCGACCCCUAAGGCGAGGCCGAAAGGCGUAGUCGAUGGGAAACGGGUUAAUAUUCCCGUACUUGGUGUUACUGCGAAGGGGGGACGGAGAAGGCUAUGUUGGCCGGGCGACGGUUGUCCCGGUUUAAGCGUGUAGGUGUGUGUUCCAGGUAAAUCCGGUUCACUUUAACACUGAGGCGUGACGACGAGGCACUACGGUGCUGAAGCAACAAAUGCCCUGCUUCCAGGAAAAGCCUCUAAGCAUCAGGUAACAUCAAAUCGUACCCCAAACCGACACAGGUGGUCAGGUAGAGAAUACCAAGGCGCUUGAGAGAACUCGGGUGAAGGAACUAGGCAAAAUGGUGCCGUAACUUCGGGAGAAGGCACGCUGACACGUAGGUGAAGUGAUUUACUCAUGGAGCUGAAGUCAGUCGAAGAUACCAGCUGGCUGCAACUGUUUAUUAAAAACACAGCACUGUGCAAACACGAAAGUGGACGUAUACGGUGUGACGCCUGCCCGGUGCCGGAAGGUUAAUUGAUGGGGUCAGCGCAAGCGAAGCUCCUGAUCGAAGCCCCGGUAAACGGCGGCCGUAACUAUAACGGUCCUAAGGUAGCGAAAUUCCUUGUCGGGUAAGUUCCGACCUGCACGAAUGGCGUAAUGAUGGCCAGGCUGUCUCCACCCGAGACUCAGUGAAAUUGAACUCGCUGUGAAGAUGCAGUGUACCCGCGGCAAGACGGAAAGACCCCGUGAACCUUUACUAUAGCUUGACACUGAACAUUGAGCCUUGAUGUGUAGGAUAGGUGGGAGGCUUUGAAGCGUGGACGCCAGUCUGCGUGGAGCCGGCCUUGAAAUACCACCCUUUAAUGUUUGAUGUUCUAACGUGGACCCGUAAUCCGGGUUGCGGACAGUGUCUGGUGGGUAGUUUGACUGGGGCGGUCUCCUCCUAAAGAGUAACGGAGGAGCACGAAGGUUGGCUAAUCCUGGUCGGACAUCAGGAGGUUAGUGCAAUGGCAUAAGCCAGCUUGACUGCGAGCGUGACGGCGCGAGCAGGUGCGAAAGCAGGUCAUAGUGAUCCGGUGGUUCUGAAUGGAAGGGCCAUCGCUCAACGGAUAAAAGGUACUCCGGGGAUAACAGGCUGAUACCGCCCAAGAGUUCAUAUCGACGGCGGUGUUUGGCACCUCGAUGUCGGCUCAUCACAUCCUGGGGCUGAAGUAGGUCCCAAGGGUAUGGCUGUUCGCCAUUUAAAGUGGUACGCGAGCUGGGUUUAGAACGUCGUGAGACAGUUCGGUCCCUAUCUGCCGUGGGCGCUGGAGAACUGAGGGGGGCUGCUCCUAGUACGAGAGGACCGGAGUGGACGCAUCACUGGUGUUCGGGUUGUCAUGCCAAUGGCACUGCCCGGUAGCUAAAUGCGGAAGAGAUAAGUGCUGAAAGCAU